CUAAACUGAGGAAAGUCGACCGAUACUGAUCGGCUAGAGGGACGUAGAGGUAAGCGGAACUCUCGGAGUAGCGGUGAAAUGCGUAGAGACCGAGAGGUACCCCGAUGGUGAAGACAGCUUACUGGGCGUCUCCUGACGCUGAAGCGCUAAGGCCAGGGGAGCGAAGGGGAUUAGAUACCCCCGUAGUCCUGGCUUCAAACGAUGUGGGCUUGGUGUCGGCUCCCGAUAGAGAGUCGUUGCCGGAGCUAACGUGUUAAGCCCACCGCCUGGGGAUUACGUCCGCAAAGACGAAACUCAAGGGAAUUGACGGGGGCCCACACAACCGGUGGAGCACGUGGUUUAAUUCGAUGAUAAGCGAAGAACCUUACCAGGGCUUGACCUAGCGGUGGUAGGAUCCUGAAAAGGAAACGACCUCAAGCUUUGCUUGAGGAGCC
rnacentral:rRNA from 1 species